rnacentral:rRNA from 1 species
AACGAACGCUGGCGGCGUGCCUAACACAUGCAAGUCGUGCGAGAAAGUUCCUUCGGGAGCGAGUAAAGCGGCGCACGGGUGAGUAACACGUAGGUAACCUGCCCCCCAGUCUGGAACAACUAGAGGAAACUCUAGCUAAUGCCGGAUGAGACCACGAUCCCUUCGGGGGUUGCGGCCAAAGAUGGCCUCUACUUGUAAGCUAUCGCUGAGGGAUGGGCCUGCGGGCCAUUAGCUUGUUGGUGAGGUAACGGCUCACCAAGGCUGUGAUGGCUAGCUGGUCUGAGAGGAUGACCAGCCACACUGGGACUGAGACACGGCCCAGACUCCUACGGGAGGCAGCAGUGGGGAAUAUUGGACAAUGGGCGCAAGCCUGAUCCAGCCAUGCCGCGUGAGUGAUGAAGGCCUUAGGGUGUAAAGCUCUUUCACCGGUGAAGAUAAUGACGGUAACCGGAGAAGAAGCCCCGGCUAACUUCGUGCCAGCAGCCGCGGUAAU